CCGUGUACGUACAAGCAGUGGGAGCACGCUUAGGCGUGUGACUGCGUACCUUUUGUAUAAUGGGUCAGCGACUUAUAUUCUGUAGCAAGGUUAACCGAAUAGGGGAGCCGAAGGGAAACCGAGUCUUAACUGGGCGUUAAGUUGCAGGGUAUAGACCCGAAACCCGGUGAUCUAGCCAUGGGCAGGUUGAAGGUUGGGUAACACUAACUGGAGGACCGAACCGACUAAUGUUGAAAAAUUAGCGGAUGACUUGUGGCUGGGGGUGAAAGGCCAAUCAAACCGGGAGAUAGCUGGUUCUCCCCGAAAGCUAUUUAGGUAGCGCCUCGUGAAUUCAUCUCCGGGGGUAGAGCACUGUUUCGGCAAGGGGGUCAUCCCGACUUACCAACCCGAUGCAAACUGCGAAUACCGGAGAAUGUUAUCACGGGAGACACACGGCGGGUGCUAACGUCCGUCGUGAAGAGGGAAACAACCCAGACCGCCAGCUAAGGUCCCAAAGUCAUGGUUAAGUGGGAAACGAUGUGGGAAGGCCCAGACAGCCAGGAUGUUGGCUUAGAAGCAGCCAUCAUUUAAAGAAAGCGUAAUAGCUCACUGGUCGAGUCGGCCUGCGCGGAAGAUGUAACGGGGCUAAACCAUGCACCGAAGCUGCGGCAGCGACGCUGAUGCGUUGUUGGGUAGGGGAGCGUUCUGUAAGCCUGUGAAGGUGUGCUGUGAGGCAUGCUGGAGGUAUCAGAAGUGCGAAUGCUGACAUAAGUAACGAUAAAGCGGGUGAAAAGCCCGCUCGCCGGAAGACCAAGGGUUCCUGUCCAACGUUAAUCGGGGCAGGGUGAGUCGACCCCUAAGGCGAGGCCGAAAGGCGUAGUCGAUGGGAAACAGGUUAAUAUUCCUGUACUUGGUGUUACUGCGAAGGGGGGACGGAGAAGGCUAUGUUGGCCGGGCGACGGUUGUCCCGGUUUAAGCGUGUAGGCUGGUUUUCCAGGCAAAUCCGGAAAAUCAAGGCUGAGGCGUGAUGACGAGGCACUACGGUGCUGAAGCAACAAAUGCCCUGCUUCCAGGAAAAGCCUCUAAGCAUCAGGUAACAUCAAAUCGUACCCCAAACCGACACAGGUGGUCAGGUAGAGAAUACCAAGGCGCUUGAGAGAACUCGGGUGAAGGAACUAGGCAAAAUGGUGCCGUAACUUCGGGAGAAGGCACGCUGAUAUGU
rnacentral:rRNA from 1 species